rnacentral:rRNA from 1 species
GAAAGUAAGAAAGGGCGCAUGGCGGAUGCCUUGGCUCACGGAGGCGAUGAAGGACGUGAUAAGCUGCGAUAAGCCUUGGGUAGGUGCAAAUAACCUUUGAUCCAAGGAUUUCCGAAUGGGACAACCCAGCAGGUUGAAGACCUGUUAUCACUACAUUAGGUAGUGAGGCGAACGAAGGGAACUGAAACAUCUUAGUACCUUUAGGAAGAGAAAAUAAAUAAUGAUUCCCCUAGUAGUGGCGAGCGAACGGGGAAUAGCCCAAACCUGCUUUGUGGCAACGCUUAGCAGGGGUUGUAGGACCACGGUGUCGUACUUAGAUUGUGAGAAGAAUGUUCUGGAAAGAACAAUCAUAGAGGGUGAUAAUCCCGUAUUCGAAGCAUGACGAGACGUAGUGGUAUCCUGAGUAACGCGGAACACGUGAAAUUCUGCGCGAAUCUGCCGGGACCAUCCGGUAAGGCUAAAUACUCCCGUGAGACCGAUAGUGAACGAGUACUGUGAAGGAAAGGUGAAAAGCACUCCGAUGAGGAGAGUGAAAUAGUUCCUGAAACCAUGCGCCUACAAGCGGUCGGAGCCGCGUAAGCGGUGACGGCGUGCCUUUUGCAUAAUGAACCUACGAGUUACCAUGUCUGGCAAGGAUAAGCGUCAUGAGACGCGCAUCCGCAGUGAAAGCGAGCCUGAAUAGGGCGUCGAGUCAGAUGGGGUAGACGCGAAACCAAGUGAUCUACACUUGCCCAGGUUGAAGUCCGGGUAACACCGGAUGGAGGACCGCACGGAUAAGCGUUGAAAAGCUUCCCGAUGAGGUGAGUGUAGGAGUGAAAGGCCAAUCAAACUUGGAGAUAGCUCGUACUCCCCGAAAGGCAUUUAGGUGCCGCGUGCGACGAUUUCCAUAAGAGGUAGAGCGACCGAUAGGUCAAGAGGGCUUCACCGCCUAUCGAGACCUGACGAACUCCGAAUGCUUAUGGACAGCAGUCGUGCAGUAAGGGGGCGGGUGCUAAGGUCCGUCCCCGAGAGGAGAAGAAUCCAGACCGCCGUCUAAGGUCCCGAAAUUCUGUCUAAGUUAGUCUAACGAAGUCUGGUCCCCGUGACAGCUAGGAUGUUGGCUUGGAAGCAGCCAUUCAUUCAAAGAGUGCGUAACAGCUCACUAGUCGAGGGUCCGGGCAUGGAUAAUAAUCGGGUAUAAGUCAGAUACCGAAGGCGCGGGAUAGUAAUGUAUAUUAAAAGUAUCGGUAGGGGAGCAUUCCAUCGGCGUUGAAUGGUGAGGGUAACCGAUCCUGGAGCUUAUGGAAAAGCAAAUGUAGGUAUAAGUAACGAUAAAAAGGGUGAGAUUCCCUUUCGCCGAAAGACCGAGGUUUCCCGGGCGAUGCCAAUCAGCCCGGGGUUAGUCGGGUCCUAAGUCUCAGCCGAACGGCGAAGGCGAUGGCAGAUGCGGUUAAUAUUCCGCAACUCGCAUAUACAGUGAUGUGGAGACGGAGCAGUGACACUGCCGCGCCCUGACGGAAUAGGGCGUUUAAGUGCGUAGGCUAUGAGGAAGGCAGGCAAAUCCACCUUCCGAGCUGAACCAUGAAAGUACAGGUAAUCCUUCGGGAUAACUUGAGUGCAGGUAAUCAUACUUCCGAGAAAAUCCGCUAAACUUAAUGUAUAUGCGACCCGUACCGCAAACGGACACACGUGGUCGGGUAGAAUAUACUAAGGCGUUGAGAGAUUCAUGGUUAAGGAACUAGGCAAAUUGACCCCGUAACUUCGGGAUAAGGGGUCCUCAUAGCAAUAUGAGGCGCAGAGAAUAGGUCCAGGCAACUGUUUAACAAAAACACAGGGCUGUGCAAACUCGAAAGAUGAAGUAUACAGCCUGACACCUGCCCGGUGCCGGAAGGUUAAGAGGAGAUGUCACCAGCAAUGGGAAGCAUUGAAUUGAAGCCCCGGUAAACGGCGGCCGUAACUAUAACGGUCCUAAGGUAGCGAAAUUCCUUGUCGGGUAAGUUCCGACCUGCACGAAUGGUGUAAUGAUCCGGACGCUGUCUCAAUCAUGAUCUCAGUGAAAUUGUAGUAUCGGUGAAGAUGCCGAUUACCCGCGAUGGGACGAAAAGACCCCGUGAACCUUUACUA